rnacentral:rRNA from 1 species
UACGAAGGGGGCAAGCGUUGUUCGGAAUUACUGGGCGUAAAGGGCGCGUAGGCGGCUUACCAAGUCAGGCGUGAAAUUCCCGGGCUCAACCUGGGGGCUGCGCUUGAUACUGGUGAGCUUGAAUGCGGGAGAGGAUAGUGGAAUUCCCAGUGUAGAGGUGAAAUUCGUAGAUAUUCGGAAGAACACCAGUGGCGAAGGCGACUCACUGGACACAUAUUGACGCUGAGGUGCGAAAGCGUGGGUAGCAAACAGG